CCAGGGAAGUCCGCUUCUGUUUCAUGUUUUGGUUUUUUGGCCACAAGAUAUGUGGGAUCUUAGCUCCCUGACCAGGAAUCGAACCCACACCCUCUGCCUUGGAAGGUGAAGUCUUAACCGCUGGACCUCUAGGAAAGUUCCUUUCAAGCUCUUUUCAAGAGCAGGCAUUUAGUAUUGUUCACUUCUGUAUCCCCAGCACCUAAAAUAGUGCCCAGCACACGGUGGGCACCCAGUAAAUGUUUGUUUAAUGAAGGCAUGGCUUUGUUUCAUCCCUAUUUCUGUCUUCUUUUCUCUGUCUCUCUCUAAUUCAGACUCUGUUUCUCUCAGUCUGUUUUUGGCUGAAUCCUUGUAAAUGUCUCUCUUCCUGCCUUGUCUCUAUUUCAUCUCUUGAAGUUUCUCUCCAGUUCUCUUUUUGUCCUCUCAGAUCACUGUCUUUCUUCAGCUCUGUGCCUCUCUUAAUUUCCGUCUUGGCUUUAGCAUCUCCUUGUCUUCCUUCUCUUUGGACAUCUCUGUCUCUCCCCUUUUCUCAAUUCCUCUCUUGCUCCUCCUCUGUCUCUCACUCCCAGUCUUUGAUUUUCAGGAUCUCACUCUAUGUAUCUUUCUGUCUCUUCCUGUCUGUCUCUUUCUGUCUCUUUUUCUUCACCAUGUGUUUCUCUUUGCUGUCUCUCCAUCUUUCUUUCUCAGUACCCGUGAAUCUCCUUUUCCCCCUCCACUUCUGCAUCCCUGCCUGGGCCUUGGGGCAGACUCAGCUUGGGGUGGGAACAGCACGGGGAUUAGGGAGCCGCUGCCCCAUGUGGGGACUGCCUAUAGCCUCCCUCUAGCUGGCCCCAUACCCAUGUCGCAACUUCUGAAUGCCCUUGGGGAGACUCCACUCAGGGAACGGCCUCCCACGUCACCUCUGCCCCUGGCUGGGGGGCCAGCCUCAUUCUUUCUGCCUCCAGCUCAGUGAAGCUUGAGAUGCCUGCUCUUUGAGAAAAGCUACUGUCAGCAGGAUUGUCAGCUUGUCAAAUCCAGUCCCAGGUUGGGAGACCCCAUGCCUGGGACUGCUAUCCCCACCCCAAAGGGAGGAACUGCAAGACAAAGAGAUAAUCCAGUGAGAGGGAUGAGAAAUGAGGGAGAGUUUCAGUCUUCCAGUGCCUCACUUCCCCAUUCAUUGCCCUUCCUCUCUGUCUUUCCCUGGUCAUUGUUUUGUUUCUUUCUUUGUCUUUAUCUUCUAUUCUCUUUACCUCUCUAGGUCUCAGUUCUUGUAUCUCUCUACUUUCCUCUGUGUCUCUGACUCAUAAGAUUUCGAAGAGCAGGGUGGGAGCCAGAAGAUCUGCUUUCUACACCCGGCUCUGCUCGUUUCUGACUGUGUGAUCUUGGGCAAGUCACUUCACCUCUCUGAGCAGCCUCAGUUUUGCUGUAAAAAUAUAUAAUAGCACUUCCCCGGUGGUCCAGUGGUUAAGAAUCCGCCUGCCAAUGCAGAACAUGAGUUUGAUCCCUAGUCUGAGAAGAUCCCACAUACUGAGGGGCAACUAAGCCCCUGUGUCAUAACUGCUGAAGUCUGAACACCCUAGAGCCCAUGCUCCACAACAAGAGAAGCCACUGCAAUGAGGAAUCUGUGCACCGCAACUAGACUAGCCCCUCCCCCGUUCACUGCAACUAGAGAAAGCCGUGUGUGCAGCAAGGAAGACCCAGUGCGGCCAAAAAUAAAUAAAAGCCUACCUUAUUUAAAACAAUGUAUAACAAAGUUGCUUUGCAUCAUGUGUAUGUGUGCUAAAUCGUUUCAGUCAUGUCCAACUCUUUGCGACCCUAUGGACUAUAGCCUGCCAGGCUCCUCUGUCCAUGGGAUACUCCAGGCAACAAUACUGGAGUGGGUUGCCAUGCCUGCCUCCAAGGGAUCUUCCCCACUCAGGGAUGGAAGCCGCCUCUCUUAUGUCUCCUGUAUUAGCAGGCAGGUUCUUUACCACUAGCACCACCUGGCUUUGCCCCAUAGGAAGAUUUAAAUAAGGCAUUUGGACCAGUGUGUGAAUAGGAAGCACUAGGUAAGUAGUAGUACUUGUGAUUUCCCAGUCUCCGUGUCUGUUUAUUUCUCUGUAUCUCUCACGUUCUCUGCUUACAUCUCCAUCUUUGUACACCAUUCUGCAUCUCUGGCAGACCUAGUCCAUACCUCUCUGGGCUGCUGUCUUUUUCUUGGCCUUGGUUUCUUUACCUCUAUCUUCACUCAGGCCUCCCAGCCUUUACCUCCCAGUCUGUCUCCAGGAAACACUUUCUCCCAUUUUUUUUUUUUAAACCUCCCUAAGAGUGAGGGUUGAAUGCAUCCAAACCAGGUGUCUCCCUUCUCUGCAGCCAGACCUUCCUUCUGUCCAUCUUAGAGGACUGUCCUCCCUUUAAUUCAGCCAAGGUAGAUUUGAAUCUAUUCUAAAGAUAAUUUAAUAGAAACUGAUAGAAAAAGCCUCCUCCACCAAAGGGUGUGCAGUAGAACGAAUUCUGUGGAUUAAACAAGGCACGUGCUUUCCCUUCCCCAUGGCUUUUUCUGCUUCGGGGGCGCAGAAGGUAAAGACAGGCAUGUUGGGGAAGGGCAUGCAGCUGGCGCAAGGUGAU